GCCUGGCUGGCUCGGAUAGUAGAGCAUGUGACUCUUUAUCUCAUAGUCAUGAGUUCAAGCCUCACGCUGGGCA
rnacentral:tRNA from 1 species